GAGCGCCCCGCAAGGGGAGCGGCAGACGGGAGAGUAACACGUGGGAACGUGCCCUUUGGUUCGGAACAACACAGGGAAACUUGUGCUAAUACCGGAUAAGUCCGUAAGGAGAAAGAUUUAUCGCCAAAGGAUCGGCCCGCGUCUGAUUAGCUUGUUGGUGAGGUAACGGCUCACCAAGGCGACGAUCAGUAGCUGGUCUGAGAGGAUGAUCAGCCUCACUGGGACUGAGACACGGCCCAGACUCCUACGGGAGGCAGCAAUGGGGAAUAUUGGACAAUGGGCGCAAGCCUGAUCCAGCCAUGCCGCGUGGAUGAUGAAGGCCUUAGGGUUGUAAAGUCCUUUCGGCGGGGAAGAUAAUGACGGUACCCGCAGAAGAAGCCCCGGCUAACUUCGUGCCAGCAGCCGCGGUAAUACGAAGGGGGCUAGCGUUGCUCGGAAUCACUGGGCGUAAAGCGCACGUAGGCGGCUUUUUAAGUCAGAGGUGAAAUCCUGGAGCUCAACUCCAGAACUGCCUUUGAUACUGGAGAGCUUGAGUCCGGGAGAGGUGAGUGGAACUGCGAGUGUAGAGGUGAAAUUCGUAGAUAUUCGCAAGAACACCAGUGGCGAAGGCGGCUCACUGGCCCGGUACUGACGCUGAGGUGCGAAAGCGUGGGGA
rnacentral:rRNA from 1 species